rnacentral:rRNA from 1 species
UACGUAGGGGGCAAGCGUUGUCCGGAUUUAUUGGGCGUAAAGAGCGUGUAGGCGGCUUUGCAAGUCCGUUGUGAAAACUCGAGGCUCAACCUCGAGACGCCGGUGGAAACUGCAAAGCUAGAGUCCGGAAGAGGAGAGUGGAAUUCCGAGUGUAGAGGUGAAAUUCGUAGAUAUUCGGAAGAACACCAGUGGCGAAGGCGACUCACUGGACAUGUAUUGACGCUGAGGUGCGAAAGCCAGGGGAGCAAACGGG